GACGAACGCUAGCGGCGUGCUUAACACAUGCAAGUCGAGCGGUAAGGCCCUUCGGGGUACACGAGCGGCGAACGGGUGAGUAACACGUGAGUAAUCUGCCCAUCACUUCGGGAUAACUCCGGGAAACCGGUGCUAAUACCGAAUAUGACCACUUCAGGCAUCUGAUGGUGGUGGAAAGUUCCGGCGGUGAUGGAUGAGCUCGCGGCCUAUCAGCUUGUUGGUGGGGUAGUGGCCUACCAAGGCUUCGACGGGUAGCCGGCCUGAGAGGGUGACCGGCCACACUGGGACUGAGACACGGCCCAGACUCCUACGGGAGGCAGCAGUGGGGAAUAUUGGACAAUGGGCGAAAGCCUGAUCCAGCAACGCCGCGUGAGGGAUGACGGCCUUCGGGUUGUAAACCUCUUUCAGCAGGGACGAAGCGCAAGUGACGGUACCUGCAGAAGAAGCACCGGCCAACUACGUG
rnacentral:rRNA from 1 species